rnacentral:rRNA from 1 species
UACACGACCGUGCCGCAAACCGACACUGGUGCGCGAGAUGAGUAUUCUAAGGCGCUUGAGAGAACUCAGGAGAAGGAACUCGGCAAAUUGACACCGUAACUUCGGAAGAAGGUGUGCCUUUAGUAGGUGAACCAUUUACUUGGGGAGCCCAAUGAGGCUGCAAAAAAUCGGUGGCUGCAACUGUUUAUUAAAAACACAGCACUCUGCUAAGACGAAAGUCGACGUAUAGGGUGUGACGCCUGCCCGUUGCUGGAAGAUUAAAUGAUGGGGUGCAAGCUCUUGAUUGAAGUCCCAGUAAACGGCGGCCGUAACAAUAACGGUCCUAAGGUAGCGAAAUUCCUUGUCGGGUAAGUUCCGACCUGCACGAAUGGCGUAAUGAUGGCCACACUGUCUCCUCCUGAGACUCAGCGAAGUUGAAAUGUUUGUGAUGAUGCAAUCUCCCCGCGGAAAGACGGAAAGACCCCAUGAACCUUUACUGUAGCUUUGUAUUGGACUUUGAACAGAUCUGUGUAGGAUAGGUGGGAGGCUUUGAAGUGUGGUCGCUAGAUCGCAUGGAGCCAACGUUGAAAUACCACCCUGGUGUGUUUGAGGUUCUAACCUAGGUCCAUUAUCUGGAUCGGGGACAGUGCAUGGUAGGCAGUUUGACUGGGGCGGUCUCCUCCCAAAGUGUAACGGAGGAGUUCGAAGGUACGCUAGGUACGGUCGGACAUCGUGCUAAUAGUGCAAUGGCAUAAGCGUGCUUAACUGCGAGACUGACAAGUCGAGCAGAUGCGAAAGCAGGACAUAGUGAUCCGGUGGUUCUGUAUGGAAGGGCCAUCGCUCAACGGAUAAAAGGUACUCUGGGGAUAACAGGCUGAUACCGCCCAAGAGUUCAUAUCGACGGCGGUGUUUGGCACCUCGAUGUCGGCUCAUCUCAUCCUGGGGCUGUAGCCGGUCCCAAGGGUAUGGCUGUUCGCCAUUUAAAGAGGUACGUGAGCUGGGUUUAAAACGUCGUGAGACAGUUUGGUCCCUAUCUUCCGUGGGCGCUGCAGAUUUGAGGAAGCCUGCUCCUAGUACGAGAGGACCGGAGUGGACGAACCUCUGGUGUAUCGGUUGUCACGCCAGUGGCAUUGCCGAGUAGCUAAGUUCGGAAGAGAUAACCGCUGAAAGCAUCUAAGCGGGAAACUCGUUUCAAGAUUAGAUCUGCCGGGGCCUUGAGCCCCCUAAAGAGUCGUUCAAGACCAGGACGUUGAUAGGUCAGGUGUGGAAGCGAAAAG